rnacentral:rRNA from 1 species
UACAGAGGAGCCAAGCGUUGUCCGGAUUGACUGGGCGUAAAGCGCACGCAGGCGGCAUCGCGCGUGGGGUGUGAAAUCUGGCCGCUUAACGGCCAGGCGCCAUCCCAUACGGCGAGGCUGGAGCGAUGCAGAGGUCGGUGGAAUUGCCGGUGUAGCGGUGAAAUGCGCAGAUAUCGGGAAGAACACCCGUGGCGAAGGCGGCUCUCUGGGACGGUACUGACGCUGAGACGCGAAAGCGUGGGGAGCGAACAGG